rnacentral:rRNA from 1 species
UACGAAGGGGGCUAGCGUUGCUCGGAAUCACUGGGCGUAAAGCGCACGUAGGCGGCUUGUUAAGUCAGGGGUGAAAUCCUGGAGCUCAACUCCAGAACUGCCUUUGAUACUGGCGAGCUUGAGUCCGGAAGAGGCGAGUGGAAUUCCUGGUGUAGCGGUGAAAUGCGCAGAUAUCAGGAGGAACACCAAUGGCGAAGGCAGCUCGCUGGGACGGUACUGACGCUGAGACGCGAAAGCGUGGGAGCAAACAGG